rnacentral:rRNA from 1 species
CCUCAAAUCAGGCGGGACUACCCGCUGAACUUAAGCAUAUCAAUAAGCGGAGGAAAAGAAACUAACAAGGAUUCCCCUAGUAACUGCGAGUGAAGCGGGAAAAGCUCAAAUUUAAAAUCUGGCAGUCUUUGGCUGUCCGAGUUGUAGUCUGGAGAAGCGUCUUCCGCGCUGGACCGUGUACAAGUCUCCUGGAACGGAGCGUCAUAGAGGGUGAGAAUCCCGUCUUUGACACGGACUACCAGUGCUUUGUGAUGCGCUCUCAAAGAGUCGAGUUGUUUGGGAAUGCAGCUCAAAAUGGGUGGUAAACUCCAUCUAAAGCUAAAUAUUGGCGAGAGACCGAUAGCGAACAAGUACCGUGAGGGAAAGAUGAAAAGCACUUUGGAAAGAGAGUUAAACAGUACGUGAAAUUGCUGAAAGGGAAACGCUUGAAGUCAGUCGCGUCCGCUAGAACUCAGCCUGGCUUUUGCUUGGUGCGUUUUCUAGUGGACGGGCCAGCAUCACUUUUGGCUGCGGGAUAAAGGUCGCAGGAAUGUGGCACCUUCGGGUGUGUUAUAGCCUGUGAUUGUAUACCGUGGCUGGGAGUGAGGACCGCAGCACGCCUUCAUGGCGGGGGUUCGCCCACCUUCGUGCUUAGGAUGCUGGCGUAAU